UUUACAUUUUCAUUUUAUAUUAUUACUUUUCUAAUCUGUCCAAAAAGGAUUUUUCUUCGUCUGAGGUUCCGUCCUUCUAUCCACGUUGGCGUUUGUAGAUAUUCCUCCCCAAUUAGUAGAAAAGAAACAGAUUUUUUAACGCAUCAUAUUUUUCAGUAAACAUUAUGAUUAUAUAUGAACUCUUACAGGUCUUUAUUCGGUGAUAAUCUUUAUUCAUAUUGUUCUUUUAAAAUUAAGUAACAUAAUUACACUUCAUCCACUAUACACUACAAGCUGUUUGUAUUUUGUUUUCUUAAAAUCGACA